GCAUUGAGUUCCCUCUCUUCGGAUCACCAGCUCGGUUUUCCGAGGUGUUACAGCCUCUGCCACAUCCAAGGACACCAGCAGCGAGCAGGAGGCUGUGGAGGGAUGGAUAUGGAGAGGCUUUCACGGGACAUUUGUCACCCAAGCACUGCCUGGAGCAGGAACCUGGAGCAGGAACCCAGGCAGGCCAGGAGCCCAGGGAUGGCUGAUGUCUCACCUCUGUCAGGGGACAGGUUGGCCCGUUUGGCUGGAGGGGAGGUUGGCCUGUCCUUGUCUGCUGGCUCGUAUCUCUUCCUACUUCCUUUGUCAGCUGCCUGAAAUGGAAUUAGAACAGACAACGGAGCUGAGCAGCCACUUCCCUCCAAGGAACCAUCAUCUCCCUGCGAUGGUACCUGGCUCAUGCAACCACCUCUCCCAUUAAACU